AGAGUUUGAUCCUGGCUCAGGACUAACGCUGGCGGCGUGCUUAACACAUGCAAGUCGAGCGGAAAGGCCCUUUCGGGGAUACUCGAGCGGCGAACGGGUGAGUAACACGUGAGUAACCUGGCCUUCACUUUGGGAUAACCAUCGGAAACGGUGGCUAAUACCGGAUAUGACCUGGCCCCGCAUGGGGGUGGGUGGAAAGUUUUUUCGGUGGGGGAUGGACUCGCGGCCUAUCAGCUUGUUGGUGGGGUAAUGGCCUACCAAGGCGAUGACGGGUAGCCGGCCUGAGAGGGCGACCGGCCACACUGGGACUGAGACACGGCCCAGACUCCUACGGGAGGCAGCAGUGGGGAAUAUUGCACAAUGGGCGGAAGCCUGAUGCAGCGACGCCGCGUGAGGGAUGACGGCCUUCGGGUUGUAAACCUCUUUCAGCAGGGACGAAGCGAGAGUGACGGUACCUGCAGAAGAAGCGCCGGCCAACUACGUGCCAGCAGCCGCGGUAAGACGUAGGGCGCGAGCGUUGUCCGGAUUUAUUGGGCGUAAAGAGCUCGUAGGCGGCUCGUUGCGUCCAUCGUGAAAACUCAGGGCUUAACUCUGAGCUUGCGGUGGAUACGGGCGGGCUAGAGUUCGGUAGGGGAGACUGGAAUUCCUGGUGUAGCGGUGAAUGCGCAGAUAUCGGGAGGAACACCAGCGGCGAAGGCGGCACUCUGGGCUGGAACUGACGCUGAGGGGCGAAAGCGUGGGUAGCAAACAGGAUUAGAUACCCUGGUAGUCCACGCCGUAAACGUUGGGCACUAGGUGUGGGGACCCUCCAACGGUUUCCGUGCCGUAGCUAACGCAUUAAGUGCCCCGCCUGGGGAGUACGGCCGCAAGGCUAAAACUCAAAGG
rnacentral:rRNA from 1 species